CAUCUUAGUACCCUCAGGAAAAGAAAUCAAUAGAGAUUGCGUCAGUAGCGGCGAGCGAAAGCGCAAGAGGGCAAACCCAGUGCUUGCACUGGGGGUUGUAGGACUGCAAUGUGCAAGAGCUGAGUUUAGCAGAACAUUCUGGAAAGUAUAGCCAUAGAGGGUGAUAGUCCCGUAUGCGAAAAACAAAGCUUAGCUAGCAGUAUCCUGAGUAGGGCGGGACACGAGGAAUCCUGUCUGAAUCCGGGUCGACCACGAUCCAACCCUAAAUACUAAUACCAGAUCGAUAGUGCACAAGUACCGUGAGGGAAAGGUGAAAAGAACUGAGGUGAUCAGAGUGAAAUAGAACCUGAAACCAUUUGCUUACAAUCAUUCAGAGCACUAUGUAGCAAUACAGUGUGAUGGACUGCCUUUUGCAUAAUGAGCCUGCGAGUUGUGGUGUCUGGCAAGGUUAAGCAAACGCGAAGCCGUAGCGAAAGCGAGUCUGAAUAGGGCGCUUAGUCAGAUGCUGCAGACCCGAAACGAAGUGAUCUAUCCAUGAGCAAGUUGAAGCUAGUGUAAGAACUAGUGGAGGACUGAACCCAUAGGCGUUGAAAAGCCCCGGGAUGACUUGUGGAUAGGGGUGAAAGGCCAAUCAAACUUCGUGAUAGCUGGUUCUCUCCGAAAUAUAUUUAGGUAUAGCGUUGUGUCGUAAUAUAAGGGGGUAGAGCACUGAAUGGGCUAGGGCAUACACCAAUGUACCAAACCCUAUCAAACUCCGAAUACCUUAUAUGUAAUCACAGCAGUCAGGCGGCGAGUGAUAAAAUCCGUCGUCAAGAGGGAAACAACCCAGACUACCAGCUAAGGUCCCUAAAUCUUACUUAAGUGGAAAACGAUGUGAAGUUACUUAAACAACCAGGAGGUUGGCUUAGAAGCAGCCAUCCUUUAAAGAAAGCGUAAUAGCUCACUGGUCUAGUGAUUUUGCGCGGAAAAUAUAACGGGGCUAAAGUAAGUACCGAAGCUGUAGACUUGCACACAACUUAGAUUAUUUAAGUUUAGAAUAUGAGAAACUAAGUUAUAUGUUUAGUUAUAUUUUUACUGAUUUUUAUAGAGUAAAGAUAGAAAUAAAACUUAGUAAAAUCAGUAAAAAUAUUCUUAGGCUAAAGUUAAGUAGUUUAAGUUGUGUGCAAGUGGUAGGAGAGCGUUCUAUUUGCGUCGAAGGUAUACCGGUAAGGAGUGCUGGAGCGAAUAGAAGUGAGCAUGCAGGCAUGAGUAGCGAUAAUUAAUGUGAGAAUCAUUAACGCCGUAAACCCAAGGUUUCCUACGCGAUGCUCGUCAUCGUAGGGUUAGUCGGGUCCUAAGUCGAGUCCGAAAGGGGUAGACGAUGGCAAAUUGGUUAAUAUUCCAAUACCAACAUUAGUGUGCGAUGGAAGGACGCUUAGGGCUAAGGGGGCUAGCGGAUGGAAGUGCUAGUCUAAGGUUGUAGGAGGUUAUACAGGCAAAUCCGUAUAACAAUACUCCGAGAACUGAAAGGCUUUUUGAAGUCUUCGGAUGGAUAGAAGAACCCCUGAUGCCGUCGAGCCAAGAAAAGUUUCUAAGUUUAGCUAAUGUUGCCCGUACCGUAAACCGACACAGGUGGGUGGGAUGAGUAUUCUAAGGCGCGUGGAAGAACUCUCUUUAAGGAACUCUGCAAAAUAGCACCGUAUCUUCGGUAUAAGGUGUGGUUAGCUUCGUACUAGGAUUUACUCCGAAAGCGAAGAAACUUACAACAAAGAGUCCCUCCCGACUGUUUACCAAAAACACAGCACUCUGCUAACUCGUAAGAGGAUGUAUAGGGUGUGACGCCUGCCCGGUGCUCGAAGGUUAAUUGAUGGGGUUAGCAUUAGCGAAGCUCUUGAUCGAAGCCCGAGUAAACGGCGGCCGUAACUAUAACGGUCCUAAGGUAGCGAAAUUCCUUGUCGGUUAAAUACCGACCUGCAUGAAUGGCGUAACGAGAUGGGAGCUGUCUCAAAGAGGGAUCCAGUGAAAUUGUAGUGGAGGUGAAAAUUCCUCCUACCCGCGGCAAGACGGAAAGACCCCGUGGACCUUUACUACAGCUUGACACUGCUACUUGGAUAAGAAUGUGCAGGAUAGGUGGGAGGCUUUGAGUAUAUGACGCCAGUUGUAUAUGAGCCAUUGUUGAGAUACCACUCUUUCUUAUUUGGGUAGCUAACCAGCUUGAGUUAUCCUCAAGUGGGACAAUGUCUGGUGGGUAGUUUGACUGGGGCGGUCGCCUCCCAAAUAAUAACGGAGGCUUACAAAGGUUGGCUCAGAACGGUUGGAAAUCGUUCGUAGAGUAUAAAGGUAUAAGCCAGCUUAACUGCAAGACAUACAAGUCAAGCAGAGACGAAAGUCGGUCUUAGUGAUCCGGUGGUUCUGUGUGGAAGGGCCAUCGCUCAAAGGAUAAAAGGUACCCCGGGGAUAACAGGCUGAUCUCCCCCAAGAGCUCACAUCGACGGGGAGGUUUGGCACCUCGAUGUCGGCUCAUCGCAUCCUGGGGCUGGAGCAGGUCCCAAGGGUAUGGCUGUUCGCCAUUUAAAGCGGUACGCGAGCUGGGUUCAGAACGUCGUGAGACAGUUCGGUCCCUAUCUGCCGUGGGCGUAAGAAGAUUGAAGAGAUUUGACCCUAGUACGAGAGGACCGGGUUGAACAAACCACUGGUGUAGCUGUUGUUCUGCCAAGAGCAUCGCAGCGUAGCUAAGUUUGGAAAGGAUAAACGCUGAAAGCAUCUAAGCGUGAAGCCAACUCUAAGAUGAAUCUUCUCUAAGCUCUCUAGAAGACUACUAGUUUGAUAGGCUGGGUGUGUAAUGGAUGAAAGUCCUUUAGCUGACCAGUACUAAUAGAGCGUUUGGCUUAUCUUUAAUAAAGCAU
rnacentral:rRNA from 1 species